rnacentral:rRNA from 1 species
AGAGUUUGAUCAUGGCUCACGAUGAACGCUGGCGGUCUGCUUAACACAUGCAAGUCGAACGAAUCUCCUCGGAGAAGAGUGGCGGACGGGUGAGUAACGCGUGAGAAUCUGCCUCCAGAACGGGGACAACAGUUGGAAACGACUGCUAAUACCCGAUGAACCGAAAGGGAAAAGAUUUAUCGUCUGGAGAGGAGCUCGCGUCCGAUUAGCUAGUUGGUGUGGUAAAGGCGCACCAAGGCGGCGAUCGGUAGCUGGUUUGAGAGGACAAUCAGCCACACUGGGACUGAGACACGGCCCAGACUCUUACGGGAGGCAGCAGUGGGGAAUUUUCCGCAAUGGGCGAAAGCCUGACGGAGCAAGACCGCGUGAGGGAGGAAGGCUCUUGGGUUGUAAACCUCUUUUCUCAGGGAAGAAGAUCUGACGGUACCUGAGGAAUAAGCCUCGGCUAACUCCGUGCCAGCAGCCGCGGUAAUACGGAGGAGGCAAGCGUUAUCCGGAAUUAUUGGGCGUAAAGCGUCCGCAGGUGGCAAUUCAAGUCUGCUGUCAAAGACCGGGGCUUAACUCUGGGAAGGCAGUGGAAACUGGAUAGCUAGAGUGCGGUAGGGGUAGAGGGAAUUCCCGGUGUAGCGGUGAAAUGCGUAGAGAUCGGGAAGAACACCAGUAGCGAAAGCGCUCUGCUGGACCGCAACUGACACUAAGGGACGAAAGCUAGGGGAGCGAAUGGGAUUAGAUACCCCAGUAGUCCUAGCCGUAAACGAUGGAUACUAGGUGUCGACUGUAUCGACCCGGUCGGCGCCGUAGCUAACGCGUUAAGUAUCCCGCCUGGGGAGUACGCACGCAAGUGUGAAACUCAAAGGAAUUGACGGGGGCCCGCACAASCGGUGGAGUAUGUGGUUUAAUUCGAUGCAACGCGAAGAACCUUACCAGGGCUUGACAUGUCGCGAACCAGGGGGAAACUCUUGGGUGCCUUAGGGGGCGCGAACACAGGUGGUGCAUGGCUGUCGUCAGCUCGUGUCGUGAGAUGUUGGGUUAAGUCCCGCAACGAGCGCAACCCU